AAGACUAUAGACCUGCGGAGUACCUGCGGAGGGAUCAUUACCGAGUUAUACAACUCCCAAACCCACUGUGAACCUUACCUCAGUUGCCUCGGCGGGAACGCCCCGGCCGCCUGCCCCCGCGCCGGCGCCGGACCCAGGCGCCCGCCGCAGGGACCCCAAACUCUCUUGCAUUACGCCCAGCGGGCGGAAUUUCUUCUCUGAGUUGCACAAGCAAAAACAAAUGAAUCAAAACUUUCAACA
rnacentral:misc_RNA from 1 species